rnacentral:lncRNA from 1 species
GUACAGAAACAAUUCUCAGAAAAUGAGCAUUCGUCCUCAAACUUUUGGACCAUUCCAAUUAUCAUGCUAACGUGGCACCAUAAACACCACCGCAUUAACGAUAGAUUCAGAACUGACUAGGGUUUUCCCUUAGAGUAUUCCAUCUAAGGUUUAUCAAUCCGUGGAUCGGUAGUGAACUGACUAGGAUUUUCUAUCUAAUCUAACAGAUCUAAUCGUAACAUGAAGCAUAGGUUGCAUAUGAAGGGUGACCUUAAUAGAUAUGAAUGAUAGAGCAAAGAUUGAUCACAUCCAUAGAUAUCUAUAAGAAAACACUACUAGGGGCAAUAAGGGCAUAUCAUCUUCUACUUGUAGCUCCAACCAAAGUGGUAACCAACUAACUCGUACCUUGAUAAAGAGUCAUCUCUCAGAAAGGUGGUUUGCAAGUGGCCUACUUUCUUGUGGUUGCCACUGUGAGGUGCGUGUUGAUGGCUCUGAUUUCCCAAAGCUUUACCUCAAAUGACUUCCACAGUACACACCAUCAAUCCUACUCAACAUUAUGCAAUCAUUAAACCUUUUCCCUACCCGCAUGUUGUCACCACAAGAAGGAAAACACACCAACAUCCUACACACUACUAAGAUGUAUUCGCAAGACAUAGACUAAUCACCACGAUUACAUCUAUUCCUAAUAAGAACAUAUGCUAGCUAAAUAGAUGAGAAUAAGAAUGCAUCAUAAUAGAUCAAAGUAAGCACAAUAUUAGAUUGAUAUCAUCAUUGUGUGUACAUAAGCCUUGGUGAUCACAAGGAUCGGCUCUAGAAGUCCACCAUGGCUUCGCCGUGUUUGAAUCGGAGUUUGAAACCAAACAAACUUGUCCAAUUCUUUCCAUUUAUUAAUUGCUAUAACAGGAUUCUUAGUUUCUCGUUGGGUUUCUUCGGGACAGAAUAUGGUUCUUAUGGGUGGUUUAAGAAAAUACGACCAGAAAACCACCCGACCUUGUGGGUCUAAAGACAUUUGCGGCAACCAUGCAUCAUCCAGAACGAUUGUAGGCAAAGCUUUCAGAGCGGGAUUCAAUUGGCC